AACGUAGGAGGCAAGCGUUAUCCGGAGUUACUGGGCGUAAAGCGCGCGCAGGCGGUGCGUUAAGUCGGGCGUGAAAGCCCCGUGCUAAACGCGGGGAGGACGAACGAUACUGGCGAACUGGAGUCGAGCAGAGGGACAUGGAAUUCCGGGUGUAGCGGUGAAAUGUGCAGAUAUCCGGAGGAACACCAGAGGUGAAAACGGUGUCCUGGGCUCAGACUGACGCUGAGGCGCGAAAGCGUGGGGAGCGAAC
rnacentral:rRNA from 1 species